rnacentral:rRNA from 2 species
CUAAAUACUGGCCGGAGACCGAUAGCGCACAAGUAGAGUGAUCGAAAGAUGAAAAGCACUUUGAAAAGAGAGUUAAACAGCACGUGAAAUUGUUGAAAGGGAAGCGCUUGCGACCAGACUCGCCCGCGGGGUUCAGCCGGCAUUCGUGCCGGUGUACUUCCCCGUGGGCGGGCCAGCGUCGGUUUGGGCGGCCGGUCAAAGGCCCCUGGAAUGUAGUGCCCUCCGGGGCACCUUAUAGCCAGGGGUGCAAUGCGGCCAGCCUGGACCGAGGAACGCGCUUCGGCACGGACGCUGGCAUAAUGGUCGUAAACGACCCGUCUUGAAACACGGACCAAGGAGUCUAACAUCUACGCGAGUGUUCGGGUGUCAAACCCGUGCGCGCAGUGAAAGCGAACGGAGGUGGGAGCCCCCUUGCGGGGCGCACCAUCGACCGAUCCUGAUGUCUUCGGAUGGAUUUGAGUAAGAGCGUAGCUGUGGGGACCCGAAAGAUGGUGAACUAUGCCUGAAUAGGGCGAAGCCAGAGGAAACUCUGGUGGAGGCUCG